rnacentral:lncRNA from 1 species
CAUAUACCCCGACUGAAAAAUCAAGCUGCAGAUAAAUUGGCAAAGAUAGGAUCUAAGAGAGAGACCAUUCCUAGCAAUGUGUUUUUGAAGCAUAUUUAUUCACCUUCAGUUCAGGAAGAUCCUUUCACUGAAGAGCCCCCACAGCCUAAGAGUACCACAGAUUCGACUGAAGUCGAAAUCCCAGCCAUGGUCGACUUAGUCAUGGAGGUUUUGGUCGUCACUCCUGACUGGACAGAGGAUGUAAAACCGAGUACCAUCAUCCUCAAACGAAUGGGCCAGCGAAUGAUGAUGUACAUGCCCUCUUUCGGUCUAUUCCUCCAAAUCUCCCACUUUCAGAAAGCUUGACUUACACGACGACUUGUAGUCGAGAUAGACAGGUUGAAAAUGCACGAAACUAGUGCACGAGACAUUGUGUCCCCCUCAUAGUUGCUGCCAUUGUUGGCCUGCCGCUGACCAUCUCAGCUCGCCGCCCCCCCAUGAUCCUCCAGGGUCCAGUGUCUGGCUGUCCCAGCAAGAGCAUACAUCAGAUCAGAUCAGGAAUGAACACAAGAAGCUAUUUCAGUCUGGCAGCAAGUUAAUUAUAUGUUCACUUGUAGACAUAUGUUUGCAUCGUGGUAAGCAAAAAAUAUUCACCAUCAGCAGUUUGCAUAUAUGGUACUAACUUUGAAAUGAUGUUCAGCAUAAGGUUGAAAGUAACCGAAAAGAAGUAGACAGCCACCACAAGCAAGUAGUCUGGGCUUGUCAAACUGUUUAUAUUGGAGGACAGAAUGCAGUGGGUUAGGUCGCUGUCCUAGACCGUUGAACAUUUUCAAGACGCAGACAUUAGACAAGUGCACUCAUCUACACAUCUCUUCCUCCGUUAUCAUCUCAUCCAAGAGGAGUCCUGUUAGUAGACGGCACUAAUGGCAGUUAGAGGUAUCUCCCUGACUCUCCACCGCCUCUUCCUCCUCUGCCUCCUGCUUCUCCUGCCAGUCGUCACCACCCAAACGAUACUCAACAUCACCAACCGCUGCCCCUACACCGUAUGGCCAGGCGCUAUGCCGGUGGGCGGUGGCAUGCGGCUGGACUCAGGGAAGACAUGGACCCUCAAGGUGCCCUCUGACACCCUUUCAGGAAGCGUGUGGGCGCGCACAGGCUGCUUGUUUGACGGCAAAGGCAACGGGUCAUGCCAGACAGGCGACUGCGAAGGCUUGCUCGUCUGCAACACAUAUGGUCAGCCGCCCAUCACGUAUGCUGAAUUCUCGCUCAACCAGUAUGACAACUACAGUUUCUUUCACAUCUCCCUCUACCAGGGCUUCAACGUACCCAUGGAGUUCCUGCCAAUGCCGGCCAACGGGCAAGGGCGAUCAGGGUGCAGAAGGGGGCCGUACUGUGGGGCCAACAUCACGUCACAGUGUCCGAGCGAGCUCAAGGCGCCGGGAGGCUGCAACAGCGCAUGUAACGCGCUUCAAAACCAGUCCAGUUUGUACUGCUGCUAUGGAAGACACUGUGAAUCCAACAAAUAUUCGGCCUUUUUUGUGCGGAUGUGCCCGGAAGCAUUAAGCUUCUCCAGCGAUGCUCCGUCACAAACUGCAUUCAGUUGUCCAUGGGAUACCAACUACCAGGUCAUCUUCUGCCCACCGAUCAAUCCAACGUCUUCACCUCCAAGUCAUCCUAACAAAUCUGGUUUUAGGCCAGCAAGCACAGAACCAUCAUCUAGGAAAGUAAGAACUGUUGUUUUGAUUGCAAUUACUGGUCCCAUAGUUUUUGUUCUCGCAUUGAUCUUUUUCGUCGUAUAUCGGAGAAGAACACGACGGCACCAUGAGAUGGAGGAAGAUGAGGCAGAGUUCGGUCAACUACAAGGAACACCAAUGAGGUUUACGUUUCAACAGUUAGAAGCAGCAACAGAGCAAUUCAAGGACAAGCUCGGGGAAGGAGGAUUUGGGUCUGUUUUCGAGGGACAGCUAGGCGAGGAAAGGAUUGCGGUAAAACGUUUGGAUCGAGCUGGUCAGGGGAAGAAAGAAUUCUUGGCGGAGGUUCAGACAAUUGGCAGCAUUCAUCAUAUCAAUCUGGUCAGGCUGUUUGGUUUCUGUGCAGAGAAAUCCCAUAGGCUCUUGGUUUAUGAGUAUAUGCCAAAAGGAUCCUUGGACAGGUGGAUCUAUGGUCGACAUGAAAAUAGUGCUCCUCCGUUAGAAUGGAAGGUACGAUGCAAGAUUAUCACUGACAUAGCUAAGGGUCUGUCUUAUCUCCACGAGGAUUGCAUGAAGAGAAUUGCUCAUUUGGAUGUCAAGCCACAAAAUAUCCUCUUAGAUGAUGACUUCAAUGCUAAACUUUCCGAUUUUGGUCUAUGCAAGCUCAUUGAUAGGGACAUGAGUCAAGUGGUUACAAGAAUGAGAGGCACACCUGGUUAUCUAGCCCCUGAAUGGUUGACAUCACAAAUCACGGAGAAGGCCGAUGUCUAUAGCUUUGGCGUUGUGGUCAUGGAAAUCGUGAG